UACGUAGGGGGCAAGCGUUAUCCGGAUUUACUGGGUGUAAAGGGAGCGUAGACGGCCAGACAAGUCUGAAGUGAAAAUCCAGCGCUUAACGUUGGAAGUGCUUUGGAAACUGCCGGGCUGGAGUGCAGGAGGGGCAGGCGGAACUCCUAGUGUAGCGGUGAAAUGCGUAGAUAUUAGGAGGAACACCAGUGGCGAAGGCGGCCUGCUGGACUGCAACUGACGUUGAGGCUCGAAAGCGUGGGGAGCAAACAGG
rnacentral:rRNA from 1 species